UCAAGUAUGACAUCACAUGACAUAUAUGUAUAUAUUAGGCCUGUGCAUAAAAGGUGUAGAACCCGAUCUGUUCGAUAGAUCUGAUCCAACCCGCCCAAUAAAGUUAGGUUUAAAUCAGAUGCGGGUUGGAUGAGCUUCUUCAACAGAUGAUCCCGUAGCUCGCAUGAUCCCUCAAAUUGCAACUCCAUUCUUCAGAAAAACCCCUAGCCUCUCUCUCUCUCUCUCUCUCUCUCUCUCUAAGAUCGAUUUGAGGAAUGUGCAUUGUCUCAGAAAAAAACACAUGUAUACCCUAAAGAGACCCAUCUCACUGCCCGCAAGAUCUCCAUUUUUUUCUCCUGCGACGACUUCAUCGUCUAUGACCUAGUGGCCCAUUUGGCGAGGGCUAAUCUUCGAGGCGAUGCUCAGGGCCAAUCUUCGAUUUCGAGCUAGAUUUUUCUAAUCACUGUCUUAGACGGCAAAAGAUUUGCUCAGAAGGAUGCUCUGCAAGGACAUGUUUAGAAGAUUCUUGGCAGAGCAAGUUUUGAGACACCCUUGGAGAACUAGCAGUAGUGGAGGAGGGACCAGAAUCCAUCUCUUGUGCGAUUGAGUGGGCAUGGGAGUGGCUGUGCUUGGACAUGGGUGUGAGUGGAGUGAGGCCUUGCCCGUCAAAACCCAUGCUCCAUUGAUGAUGAAAUCCAUGCAUAUGAAACCCUUGGUCCAUCUCUCCAAAGAGCUCAAGCACUUGCGAUCCCAAAAAAGAUUAGGGAAGAGGAAGUCAAGGGAGGACCACUAGCCAUUUUUUUUGUAUAUAAUUAUUUCCCUUUUCCUUUGAUUUUUCCUUGGAAUUGAAUAUGGUGGAAUAAUUGCAUUCUUCUUCUUGGAGAAUCAGCCCUUGAAACUAAA